rnacentral:rRNA from 1 species
CCCUCCCUCUUUCUUCAGGCCUAACACAUGCAAGUCGAGCGAGGACUUCGGUUCUAGCGGCGGACGGGUGAGUAACGCGUGGGAAUGUGCCCUUCUCUACGGAAUAGCCCUGGGAAACUGGGAGUAAUACCGUAUACGCCCUAUUGGGGAAAGAUUUAUCGGAGAAGGAUCAGCCCGCGUUGGAUUAGGUAGUUGGUGGGGUAAUGGCCUACCAAGCCGACGAUCCAUAGCUGGUUUGAGAGGAUGAUCAGCCACACUGGGACUGAGACACGGCCCAGACUCCUACGGGAGGCAGCAGUGGGGAAUCUUAGACAAUGGGGGCAACCCUGAUCUAGCCAUGCCGCGUGAGUGAUGAAGGCCUUAGGGUUGUAAAGCUCUUUCAGCUGGGAAGAUAAUGACGGUACCAGCAGAAGAAGCCCCGGCUAACUCCGUG